rnacentral:rRNA from 1 species
GACGAACGCUGGCGGCGUGCUUAACACAUGCAAGUCGAACGGAAAGGCCCUGCUUUUGUGGGGUGCUCGAGUGGCGAACGGGUGAGUAACACGUGAGUAACCUGCCCUUGACUUUGGGAUAACUUCAGGAAACUGGGGCUAAUACCGGAUAGGAGCUCCUGCUGCAUGUUGGGGGUUGGAAAGUUUCGGCGGUUGGGGAUGGACUCGCGGGUUAUCAGCUUGUUGGUGAGGUAGGGGCUUACCAAGGCUUUGACGGGUAGCCGGCCUGAGAGGGUGGCCGGCGACAAGGGGCCUGAGGUACGGACCAGAAUCCUACGGGAGGCAAUAGUGGGGAGUAUUGCACAGUGGGCGGAAGCCUGAUACAGCAACGCCGCGUGCGGGAUGACGGCCUUCGGGGUGUAAACAGCUUUCGCCUGUGACGAAGCGUGAGUGACGGUAGUGGGUAAAGAAGCACCGGCUAACUACGUG